rnacentral:misc_RNA from 1 species
AAACUGCGAUAAGUAGUGUGAAUUGCAUUUAGUGAAUCAUCGAAUCUUUGAACGCACCCUGCACUCACUGGUAUUCCGGUGAGUACGCCUGUUUCAGUAUCAUUGAAAACACACAAUCAAAACAUUUUCUUUGGUUUGAUUGGCUUUGGGUCUAUCAAAAAGUUUGGCUUGUUUCUUACAAGCCAAGCGGCCUGAAAUAUAUUGUCUGGCUAAUUGCAUCGUUGAUGAUCGCUAUUAGACUUUGGCUUUUUUAAAUGAACUGGAGGUUGAUUAACCAGUUUUAGCUUUAGUCAAAUUGUCAUUGUAAAAAAAAUCUCGAUCUUGGCUAGGUGUUUAUAGCCGAAAAUUUUUUUUUGGCUAUAACCGAAACCAAUAUAAUCACAUUUAGUUAUCGAUCUGAAAUCAGGUGGGACUACCCGCUGAACUUAAGC